UACGGAGGGUGCAAGCGUUAUCCGGAUUCACUGGGUUUAAAGGGUGCGUAGGUGGGUUGGUAAGUCAGUGGUGAAAUCCCCGAGCUUAACUUGGGAACUGCCAUUGAUACUAUCAAUCUUGAAUACCGUGGAGGUCAGCGGAAUAUGUCAUGUAGCGGUGAAAUGCUUAGAUAUGACAUAGAACACCAAUUGCGAAGGCAGCUGGCUACACGAAUAUUGACACUCAGGCACGAAAGCGUGGGGAUCAAACAGG
rnacentral:rRNA from 1 species